UACGUAGGGUGCAAGCGUUAAUCGGAAUUACUGGGCGUAAAGCGUGCGCAGGCGGUUUUGUAAGACCGAUGUGAAAUCCCCGGGCUUAACCUGGGAACUGCAUUUGUGACUGCAAGGCUAGAGUGUGUCAGAGGGAGGUGGAAUUCCGCGUGUAGCAGUGAAAUGCGUAGAGAUGCGGAGGAACACCGAUGGCGAAGGCAGCCUCCUGGGAUAACACUGACGCUCAUGCACGAAAGGCGUGGGGAGCAAACAGG
rnacentral:rRNA from 1 species